rnacentral:rRNA from 1 species
AUGCACGCUCCUCGCGACGCUCACUGGAACCUCGUGAAGCGGAUCCUUCGGUAUAUCCGCGGCACUAUGGCUUUGGGUCUUAUGUUGACGGCCUCGCCCUCGACUGACCUCGUUGCCUACAGUGUUGCUGAUUGGGCUGGCUGUCCGGACACACGGCGCUUCACCUCCGACUAUUGCGUCUACCUUGGACCCUCACUCAUAUCAUGGCCAUCCAAACGAGAACCCACAGUAUCCCGCUCCAGUGCCGAGGCUGAGUAUCGUGCUAUGGCCAAUGCAGUCACCGAGUGCUCGUGGAUUCGGCAGCUACUCCAGAAGUUGCUCCUUGACGUGUCGACGGCCACCAUUGUCUACUGUGACAGUGUCUCUGCGGUCUACCUCUCCGCCAACCCAGUUCAUCAUCGUCACACGAAGCACAUUGAGCUCGACAUCCACUUCAUGCGUGAGCAGGUGGCUCUUGGACACAUCUGCGUACUUCACGUUCCCACCGCUCAACAGUUCGCCGAUGUCAAGAUUAAGGGGUUACCGACGCCUACAUUUGAGGAGUUCCGGUCCAGUCUAUG